rfam:Schistosoma margrebowiei strain Zambia genome assembly, scaffold: SMRZ_contig0002850
AUCCAGCUGACGAGUCCCAAACAGGACGAAACGCACGUUUCGAAU